ensembl:lncRNA novel transcript
GGGCAGCUCCAGAUGCAUUAGAUCAGCAGCUGAUGCCAUCAUGCGAAUGUCUAACACUUACUUUAGCAGUAGAAGACUUUCUUCAUUUAAAAUCUUACAGGAAAUCCCUGUGUUCAAAAGGAAAAAAAAAAUCAGUAGGGGAUCUGGAGCCCAGCCAGCACUGUCCUCUUUCUCCCAAGAGGGGAAAACUGAUCCAAACCGAGGUCCGAACUGGAUGGACUCCUCGAGAAUCAGAACUUCAAUACCAGUGACGUAAUUGGAACCCAGUCUGUCCAAAAUUAGGAUGUUUGGUGUUAUGGAGGUUCACCUGGGAAAAAUCAGGAGGCCGCCGAGUGUAACUGUGGGAUGGCAUCACAGUAAGCAAGAAGCUUAAAAUCUAAUCCAUUACCAGGGAAUUGAAUCCAGGGAACAUGGCUUCAUUAAAGACUACGACUUUAUAAAUAACUACACAUAAAUAGACCGCUUUGCCUUAGAGAAUAAUAUAUUUCAAAAUUAUUAUCUACUUAAAAUAUUUUACCUAAAAGAAUUCACAAUUAGCUUUCAAUAUUUAAACAGUACAUUAGAAAUGGAAUGAUUAUAAAUAUCAGAAACAAAAGCCACUUCAUUACAGUAUGAACAUAUGCUAACAUACCACAUACUGCUUUUGAAUUUAAUAAUAAUAUAGUUUAUCUUUUUUUAACUGACAUAAGGGUUUUGAUAAUAGCUAAUAUAAAUAUAUGAAAUGUCAAAUUUAGAAGAUAGUGCUUAAACAUUUGUCUCUUAGAGAGUAUUGUUAAACUUAACUUUUAUUAACUCUGAGAAUCAAAGAGAAAUAUGGUGAUGCUAGUGAACGUUUGAAAAUCUUUUAUUUUAUCACUUUUAAUGCAUGUUUAAUAUUUAACAUUCAUCUUAUUACAGUCAGGAAUUGUGAAAUGCUUGUGCUGUUUCUAAACAGUUUUAAAGUUCAAUGCACAGUCACAAUUCAGAGGGGAGAUUUCACACAUUUAUGGAAAAUAAGCCAUUUUUGCAGUAAAGUUGCAAAGUGUGAAAGAA